rnacentral:lncRNA from 1 species
ACUGGUUUAAAUCAAUAUUUAAUUUUCUUACUAGCGUUCUUUGAUUGAUUUUUAUCCAUGCACCAUAUUAAAAUUAGAAAAUUCACAAGAAUCACUGUAGGAUAUAAUUUUCUAAGGAAUCUAAUUAAGCGUUUGGAAUGAGGAUGGCCCGGUGCACAUUGUAGCAGUAUGAAAAGCUUCUUGGAUGUGCUCGUUGUGGGACAUGGAACUGUUAGGAUUUCAGUUUUAGAUAUUGGUCUCCAAAAGACUUCAAUUACAAUGUAACUUAGGAGGGUAAAGGGAUUGGUGGGUAAUUCUAUGAUCCCACAGCUUGUGUGGGGCUAGAUCCAGAAAGACUUCAUAGAGUACAGAUUUACAGACAAAGCCUAACUCAGGCAAACUGGUAUCAGGCUGGCUAGCAGCAUCUCCUCUUUAAGCCUUUUAUAAUUUUGUUGGAUCACUUAAGGGAAAGGUCUAGGCUUGGCCCAUGUUUACAGAGUGUCCUCUCUGUUCUUCCCUCUUCCCCUUCAUCCCGCUUCUCAUCCUUCUUUGCUCCCUCCUCUUUCCCUUCCUUCUCCCCUCUCAUGGUACACGUACCUGUGCUCAUAUGUGUACAUGUCUGUGAUAAACAGCAGGGUCUUCUUCCCUUGCUGUUCACCUUAUUGUUGGAGAUAGGCUGUCUCAUUUAACAUGGAACCCCCCAAUUUGGCUAGACCAGCUGGCUAAUUCAGAGACCUGUCUGUCUCUGCCUCCUGGACACUGACUUCAGUGCUGCUAGCGGAGAUCUGAAUUCACCUUCUGAUGCUUGUGAGGCAAGCAUUUUAUGACCUGUGACCAAACGGCCUCCUCCCCAGCCCUUCUCUUUCUUUAUAAGUAAAAUUUUCUUUCAACAAGCCAUAUCAUGUCUACAACCUUUUUCAAAUGGUAUUUGCAAAAGUCAGCUGAGAUAAAGGGUCUCGAGGAAGGCCAGGUUUGCCUGUCGAGAGAGACUUUCAAUGGCCAGUUGAUGUGAGGAUCCUUAUCUUUCUUGUGACAUCUUUAUGACCAUAAGAUGCCACAUAUCUACUCCAAUCUCUGGGAGAUUAACUUCUUCCCUUUCUGCUUCUGGGAUAUAGAACUGGGGGUUUUCUGUCAGAUGCAGUAAAAAUUCCCUUGGUACCUGUCAUCAACGUGCAACCUCAUGACAGAAGAGUGAUUCAGGUCACCUCACACUUAAUUAUUUAUAGUCCAAAGGAAUGAGACAUGACCAGUUAUUUAUGAUGUCCUAUGAAUAAAAAUAUGUGAAUAAACAACAAUUGAAUUACUUGUUAGAAAUGAAUCUGACUCAAGCCUGGGUAUGGCAAUCCCAGAGGUAGGAGGAUCAGGAGUUCAAGGCCAGCUUGGGAUACAAGAGACCUUGUUUCAAAGCUUAAAAACAAUUUCUUGAAAAAUUCAGCAAUAAUGGUGUAUUCUUUGCUACUAAGAUCCAUUAUGAAAAUAUAAAAAAUAUAAGUAAGUAACAAUAAUU